rnacentral:lncRNA from 1 species
GUGAGUAUACCAUAUCCGAUCUCAUACAUAGUGUAUAUGAUAAAAUAAAUUCUACUUAUAAACACUCUACGUACGUUUGACUGGGAUAAUCCAGGCAGCCUCUUAGAUCUAUCUCUAUAGAUCUUCAUCCCUAGGAUGAGGGAUACUUUUCCAAAGUCCUUUGUGGAGAACAAUGAUAAUAGCGAAACUUUUAUUCCCUGUA